rnacentral:rRNA from 1 species
UCAGUAGGGGUUCUGAGAGGAAGGUCCCCCACAUUGGAACUGAGACACGGUCCAAACUCCUACGGGAGGCAGCAGUGAGGAAUAUUGGUCAAUGGACGAGAGUCUGAACCAGCCAAGUAGCGUGCAGGAAGACGGCCCUAUGGGUUGUAAACUGCUUUUAUAAGGGAAUAAAGUGAGAGUCGUGACUCUUUUUGCAUGUACCUUAUGAAUAAGGACCGGCUAAUUCCGUGCCAGCAGCCGCGGUAAUACGGAAGGUCCGGGCGUUAUCCGGAUUUAUUGGGUUUAAAGGGAGCGUAGGCCGGAGAUUGAGCGUGUUGUGAAAUGUAGACGCUCAACGUCUGCACUGCAGCGCGAACUGGUUUCCUUGAGUACGCACAAAGUGGGCGGAAUUCGUGGUGUAGCGGUGAAAUGCUUAGAUAUCACGAAGAACUCCGAUUGCGAAGGCAGCUCACUGGAGCGCAACUGACGCUGAAGCUCGAAAGUGCGGGUAUCGAACAGGAUUAGAUACCCUGGUAGUCCGCACGGUAAACGAUGGAUGCCCGCUGUUGGUCUGAAUAGGUCAGCGGCCAAGCGAAAGCAUUAAGCAUCCCACCUGGGGAGUACGCCGGCAACGGUGAAACUCAAAGGAAUUGACGGGGGCCCGCACAAGCGGAGGAACAUGUGGUUUAAUUCGAUGAUACGCGAGGAACCUUACCCGGGCUUGAAUUGCAGAGGAAGGAUUUGGAGACAAUGACGCCCUUCGGGGCCUCUGUGAAGGUGCUGCAUGGUUGUCGUCAGCUCGUGCCGUGAGGUGUCGGCUUAAGUGCCAUAACGAGCGCAACCCCUCUCCUUAGUUGCCAUCAGGUUAAGCUGGGCACUCUGGGGACACUGCCACCGUAAGGUGUGAGGAAGGUGGGGAUGACGUCAAAUCAGCACGGCCCUUACGUCCGGGGCUACACACGUGUUACAAUGGCAGGUACAGAGAGACGGUCCCUUGCAAAACGGAUCAAAUCCUUAAAGCCUGUCUCAGUUCGGACUGGGGUCUGCAACCCGACCCCACGAAGCUGGAUUCGCUAGUAAUCGCGCAUCAGCCAUGGCGCGGUGAAUACGUUCCCGGGCCUUGUACACACCGCCCGUCAAGCCAUGAAAGCCGGGGGCGCCUAAAGUCCGUGACCGUAAGGAGCGGCCUAGGGCGAAACUGGUAAUUGGGGCUAAGUCGUAACAAGGUA